ACGUAGGGUGCAAACGUUGUCCGGAAUUACUGGGUGUAAAGGGUGCACAGGCGGUUUUGUGCGUCAGAGGUAAAAUCCCACAGCUCAACUGUGGACCUGCCUUUGAUACGGCGAGACUUGAGUACAAGAGAGGAUGAUAGAAUUCCUGGUGUAGCGGUGAAAUGCGUAGAUAUCAGGAGGAAUACCAGUGGCGAAGGCGGUCAUCUGGCUUGUAACUGACGCUUAAGCACGAAAGCAUGGGUAGCGAACAG
rnacentral:rRNA from 1 species